rnacentral:rRNA from 1 species
AUACGUAGGUGGCAAGCGUUGUCCGGAUUUACUGGGUGUAAAGGGCGUGUAGGCGGAGAUGCAAGUCAGGAGUGAAAUCUAGGGGCUCGACCCCUAAACUGCUUUUGAAACUGUAUCCCUUGAGUAUCGGAGAGGCAGGGGGAAUUCCCAUUGUAGCGGUGAAAUGCGUGGAUAUUGGGGGGAACACCAGUGGCGAAAGCGCGCGUCUGGGACACAAAGGGCACUCACGGGCCGAAAGCUGGGGGAGCAAAAGGGAUUAGAUACCCCGGUAGUCCUAGCCGUAAACGAUGGAUACUAGGUGUUGUGAGUAUCGACCCUCACAGUGCCGGAGCCAACGCGUUAAGUAUCCCGCCUGGGGAGUACGCACGCAAGUGUGAAACUCAAAUGAAUUGACGG